UAAUUAAAUCUUAAACCCUAAUAAUUCCUAAUUCCUAAGUCAAAUCCUAGACAAAUCUUAAAUUAAACCCUAUUCCAAACCCUAAACCCUAAACCAAAUCCUAAAUCAAAUCCUAAAUCAAACCCUAAUCCAACCCUAAACCCUAAAUCCUAAACCAAACCUUAAAUAAAAUCUUAACCAAAUCCUAAUCCAAACCCUAAAUCCAACCCUAACCAAAUCCUAAACCCUAAUCCAAACCCUAAUCCAAAUCCUAAUCCAACCCUAAACUAUAAUCCAAAUCCUAAAUCCUAAACCAAACCUUAAAUCAAACCCUAACCAAAUCUUAGUCCAAAAUCUAAUCCAAAUCAUAAAUCAAA
rnacentral:lncRNA from 1 species